rnacentral:rRNA from 1 species
CCUACGGGUGGCAGCAGUGAGGAAUAUUGGUCAAUGGGCGAGAGCCUGAACCAGCCAAGUCGCGUGAGGGACGACGGUCCUAUGGAUUGUAAACCUCUUUUGUCGGGGAACAAAGGCGCCCACGGGUGGGCGGAUGAGUGUACCCGAAGAAAAAGCAUCGGCAAAGUCCGUGCCAGCAGCCGCGGUAAGACGGGGGAUGCAAGCGUUAUCCGGAUUGAUUGGGUUUAAAGGGUGCGUAGGCGGACAGUCAAGUCAGCGGUAAAAAUGCGGUGCUCAACGCCGUACAGCCGUUGAAACUGGCAGUCUUGAGUGGGCGAGAAGUAUGCGGAAUGCGUGGUGUAGCGGUGAAAUGCAUAGAUAUCACGCAGAACUCCGAUGGCGAAGGCAGCAGACCGGCGCCCUACUGACGCUGAGGCACGAAAGCGUGGGUAUCGAAUAGGAUUAGAUACCCGUGUAGUC